GUGAGUGGAACGUGAGACAUUGCACAACGUGCUCUCGCAUAGAAGUGCAAGGCGCACGAGCAGCCAUUGCAGGAAGCCCGACGUAAAACGUCCCUGCAAGAGCGUCCGUCCAUCAAACAAGUCACCGCUGAAGAAGAGGCGAACUUUUAAAGAAGCGUCGGAGCAGUGGCCGAGACCUCGCAAUUCCGACUGACAAUCUGCAGUACUACAAUGCGAAUUUCGCCAGCGUAACCACGUAGCAAAUCACUACGUGUGCCCUUCUCAUACAGGGCUUCUAGCCCAAAGAAGGCCGGAGGCGGGACGACGGAUCUGACCUUUUGGGAAUUGCGGCUGGCGUAGAAACCAUGCUCCAUAUAUAGUCUGCUGUUC